rnacentral:rRNA from 1 species
UACCAAAAAAUUAAGUUAUAUAAAAUAUGGUAAAAAGACAGUUAGACAUUUAAUUUAGUCUCUUGAUUAUUUAUAAAAAGGUAAAAUUUAUAUAUAAAUAUAAUAAUCUAGUUAUGACUUUAUAGUUGAAUCUGUGAUAGCCUUGAGGGAAACUGGGAUUGGAUACCCCAUUAUUCUUGGCUGUAAAUCAAAUAAAGUUUACCAGAGUACUAUGAAUAUAAAAAUUUAAAACUCAAAGGGCUUGGCGGUGUUUUAGACCAUUUAGGGGAACCUGUCUCAUAAUCGACAAUCCACGUUAAACCUUACCUUUUUUUGUAUUCAGUUUGUAUACCGUCGUCGUCAGGUAACUUUUAAAAAACUAAAAGUUAGCCAGUAAAUUUUUAUAAGUAUAAAUUAAGACGUCAGAUCAGGGUGCAACCUAUAAAAAGGAGAGGAUGGGUUACAAUUAUAAACUUAUAACCACGGAAAGUUAUUGUAAUAAAUAAAUUGAAGGAGGACUUAAAAGUAAUUUUUAUCUAUAUAAAAAAUUUGAAUAAGGCUCUGAAACGUGC